rnacentral:tRNA from 8 species
UUCUGGUUACGGGGCCAUAGCUCAGCUGGGAGAGCGCGUGCUUUGCAAGCAUGAGGUCGUCGGUUCGAUCCCGUCUGGCUCCACCA